rnacentral:rRNA from 1 species
AUUGAACGCUGGCGGCAUGCCUUACACAUGCAAGUCGAACGGCAGCGGACCUUCGGGUGCCGGCGAGUGGCGAACGGGUGAGUAAUAUAUCGGAACGUACCUUUCAGUGGGGGAUAACGUAGCGAAAGUUACGCUAAUACCGCAUAUUCUGUGAGCAGGAAAGCAGGGGAUCGCAAGACCUUGCGCUGAUUGAGCGGCCGAUAUCAGAUUAGCUAGUUGGUGAGGUAAAGGCUCAUCAAGGCGACGAUCUGUAGCGGGUCUGAGAGGAUGAUCCGCCACACUGGAACUGAGACACGGUCCAGACUCCUACGGGAGGCAGCAGUGGGGAAUUUUGGACAAUGGGCGCAAGCCUGAUCCAGCCAUGCCGCGUGAGUGAAGAAGGCCUCGGUUGUAAG